rnacentral:misc_RNA from 1 species
GAUGAAGAACGUAGCGAAAUGCGAUAAGUAAUGUGAAUUGAAGAAUUCAGUGAAUCAUCGAAUCUUUGAACGCACCUUGCACUCCUUGGUAUUCCGAGGAGUACGCCUGUUCGAGUGUUAUGAAGCUCUCAAAACGCAAUUGGCUUAAAACCUGAUUGUUGUUUUGGAUUUGAACUUUGCCGUGUUAUAACGGCUGGUUUUAAAAGUAUUAGCUGGUACUAGAACGAAUUGGUUCUACUCAACGUGAUAAUUAUCUGAUCGUUGAGGACAUUCCUUUCACGAGGAAUGGCCAUAGUAAAUUCAAUGGACUGCUUCUAAUCUGGCUUUAAUUCUUUAUUGGAUUAACCACUUUUCAAAUCUGACCUCGAAUCAGGUGGGACUACCCGCUGAACUUAAGCAUAUCAAUAAGCGGAGGA